rnacentral:misc_RNA from 1 species
UAGAGACUGCCCGUUGUCUCAAGUACUCACUCUUAUCGGUUGUUCGUAGCGGUCGUCAGCGAGUAGCUGUCGUGCGGUCACGAGGAAACGGCGGUACACAGCGUUGACUGACACUGGCUGCUGACAUCUGACAACAGGGAAUUACGCAUACACACGGGCCUGUAGCUCAGUUGGUUAGAGCACCGUCUUGAUAAGGCGGGGGUCGAUGGUUCGAAUCCAUCCAGACCCACCACCUCCAAGCGGCGCAAUCCAGCGGAGAAGCGAGGAUUGCGACGAGUCAGGCGAGGCGCGAGGCCGACGUGUACAGAAGUACCGAGGUCCCGAGCAACGAAGCAUGACGAAGCAAAAGGGGCUGUAGCUCAGUUGGGAGAGCGCCUGCUUUGCAAGCAGGAGGUCAUCGGUUCGAUCCCGUUCAGCUCCACCAGUCAGGCGCGAGGGUGGGCGGCAAACCAGCGCGAUGCAACAAGCCAGGGACGAGAGACCAUAGGCAAGCCGAAUGGCUUACCUCUGGUUUUUAGCCAGACCUGAAUAUCGGUUGUUCUUUAACAAUUGGGAAGAAGUAAAGGUCUUGCUCGGAAGGGCGGGCGUGGGCGCGAGCCUGGGUCUGGCUGGACGAGUGAGAUUGGGUUGGAUUGUAUUGUCCUUGUUCACGCUGUGAGUUCGGUGUGGAUGGGGAGCGCGAACGCCCGUGAUGUUGAGUGCAAGUCAGUGCUCAGUGUUAUGG